rnacentral:tRNA from 1 species
GCAGGUGUGGUGGAAUUGGUAGACACGCUAGUUUCAGGUACUAGUGCCGCAAGGCUUGGGAGUUCGAGUCUCCCCAUCUGUA